rnacentral:rRNA from 1 species
UACAGAGGUCUCAAGCGUUGUUCGGAUUCAUUGGGCGUAAAGGGUGCGUAGGCGGCCGUGCAAGUCUGGCGUGAAAGCCCCGGGCUCAGCCCGGGAAGUGCGCUCGAAACUGCGCGGCUCGAGUGCCGGAGGGGAGAGUGGAAUUCCUGGUGUAGCGGUGAAAUGCGUAGAUAUCAGGAGGAAUACCGGUGGCGAAAGGCGACUCUCUGGACGGCAACUGACGCUGAGGCAUGAAAGCGUGGGGAGCAAACAGG